rnacentral:rRNA from 1 species
GAUGAACGCUGGCGGCGUGCCUAAUACAUGCAAGUCGAGCGAACGGACGAGAAGCUUGCUUCUCUGAUGUUAGCGGCGGACGGGUGAGUAACACGUGGAUAACCUACCUAUAAGACUGGGAUAACUUCGGGAAACCGGAGCUAAUACCGGAUAAUAUUUUGAACCGCAUUGUUCAAAAGUGAACGACGGUCUUUCUGUCACUUAUAGAUGGAUCCGCGCUGCAUUAGCUAGUUGGUAAGGUAACGGCUUACCAAGGCAACGAUGCAUAGCCGACCUGAGAGGGUGAUCGGCCACACUGGAACUGAGACACGGUCCAGACUCCUACGGGAGGCAGCAGUAGGGAAUCUUCCGCAAUGGGCGAAAGCCUGACGGAGCAACGCCGCGUGAGUGAUGAAGGUCUUCGGAUCGUAAAACUCUGUUAUUAGGGAAGAACAUAUGUGUAAGUAACUGUGCACAUCUUGACGGUACCUAAUCAGAAAGCCACGGCUAACUACGUG